AGAGGGAAACAACCCAGACCGCCAGCUAAGGUCCCAAAGUCAUGGUUAAGUGGGAAACGAUGUGGGAAGGCCCAGACAGCCAGGAUGUUGGCUUAGAAGCAGCCAUCAUUUAAAGAAAGCGUAAUAGCUCACUGGUCGAGUCGGCCUGCGCGGAAGAUGUAACGGGGCUAAACCAUGCACCGAAGCUGCGGCAGCGACACUCAGGUGUUGUUGGGUAGGGGAGCGUUCUGUAAGCCUGCGAAGGUGGCCUGUGAGGGUUGCUGGAGGUAUCAGAAGUGCGAAUGCUGACAUAAGUAACGAUAAAGCGGGUGAAAAGCCCGCUCGCCGGAAGACCAAGGGUUCCUGUCCAACGUUAAUCGGGGCAGGGUGAGUCGACCCCUAAGGCGAGGCCGAAAGGCGUAGUCGAUGGGAAACGGGUUAAUAUUCCCGUACUUGGUGUUACUGCGAAGGGGGGACGGAGAAGGCUAUGUUGGCCGGGCGACGGUUGUCCCGGUUUAAGCGUGUAGGUGUGUGUUCCAGGUAAAUCCGGUUCACUUUAACACUGAGGCGUGAUGACGAGGCACUACGGUGCUGAAGCAACAAAUGCCCUGCUUCCAGGAAAAGCCUCUAAGCAUCAGGUAACAUCAAAUCGUACCCCAAACCGACACAGGUGGUCAGGUAGAGAAUACCAAGGCGCUUGAGAGAACUCGGGUGAAGGAACUAGGCAAAAUGGUGCCGUAACUUCGGGAGAAGGCACGCUGACACGUAGGUGAAGUGAUUUACUCAUGGAGCUGAAGUCAGUCGAAGAUACCAGCUGGCUGCAACUGUUUAUUAAAAACACAGCACUGUGCAAACACGAAAGUGGACGUAUACGGUGUGACGCCUGCCCGGUGCCGGAAGGUUAAUUGAUGGGGUCAGCGCAAGCGAAGCUCCUGAUCGAAGCCCCGGUAAACGGCGGCCGUAACUAUAACGGUCCUAAGGUAGCGAAAUUCCUUGUCGGGUAAGUUCCGACCUGCACGAAUGGCGUAAUGAUGGCCAGGCUGUCUCCACCCGAGACUCAGUGAAAUUGAACUCGCUGUGAAGAUGCAGUGUACCCGCGGCAAGACGGAAAGACCCCGUGAACCUUUACUAUAGCUUGACACUGAACAUUGAGCCUUGAUGUGUAGGAUAGGUGGGAGGCUUUGAAGUGUGGACGCCAGUCUGCAUGGAGCCGACCUUGAAAUACCACCCUUUAAUGUUUGAUGUUCUAACGUGGACCCGUAAUCCGGGUUGCGGACAGUGUCUGGUGGGUAGUUUGACUGGGGCGGUCUCCUCCUAAAGAGUAACGGAGGAGCACGAAGGUUGGCUAAUCCUGGUCGGACAUCAGGAGGUUAGUGCAAUGGCAUAAGCCAGCUUGACUGCGAGCGUGACGGCGCGAGCAGGUGCGAAAGCAGGUCAUAGUGAUCCGGUGGUUCUGAAUGGAAGGGCCAUCGCUCAACGGAUAAAAGGUACUCCGGGGAUAACAGGCUGAUACCGCCCAAGAGUUCAUAUCGACGGCGGUGUUUGGCACCUCGAUGUCGGCUCAUCACAUCCUGGGGCUGAAGUAGGUCCCAAGGGUAUGGCUGUUCGCCAUUUAAAGUGGUACGCGAGCUGGGUUUAGAACGUCGUGAGACAGUUCGGUCCCUAUCUGCCGUGGGCGCUGGAGAACUGAGGGGGGCUGCUCCUAGUACGAGAGGACCGGAGUGGACGCAUCACUGGUGUUCGGGUUGUCAUGCCAAUGGCACUGCCCGGUAGCUAAAUGCGGAAGAGAUAAGUGCUGAAAGCAUCUAAGCACGAAACUUGCCCCGAGAUGAGUUCUCCCUGAGACUUAGAGUCUCCUGAAGGAACGUUGAAGACGACGACGUUGAUAGGCCGGGUGUGUAAGCGCAGCGAUGCGUUGAGCUAACCGGUACUAAUGAACCGUGAGGCUUAACCUUACAACGCCGAAG
rnacentral:rRNA from 1 species